GCCUACCCAGGAAACACUAAGUUUGAGUCGCUAACUGAGCAUACCAUCACACCGCCACACAAGAAUGUGGCCCUCUAGGGCGGCAUCAACACUGCAGCCAGAGACCCUAAGGAAAGGAAGAUCUUUCCUUGCAGGGUGUUUUCAGCCUCGUCAGACUCGCAACAGCCCCCGCCGCUGCAAGGCCGGCGCUGCGACACCUCCUCCAAGCCUCCCGGGGGAGGGCGGGAUGACAGCGCCUGAGGGGCCCACUCGGGCUCAUCUUCCGGAAGAUUCCUACGGUCGGGGUCCGAGGGACGACCCUGCGCACAGAGCCCCGCAGAUCCGGGGCCAGACGGCGGAAGGGGCGCUCCCGCCUGGAGGUCUGGCCUACAGAGAAGAGCGAUCACAGAGCCCUUCAUGGAUGCUGGAGCUCCCCUCACAAACUGCUAUGGAGUGCUGAAUAGCAGAAACUGGGAGCUUUAAAGCUUAAAGGGACAUUAGACGUCAUGUGACCCAUGCUGAGGAAGAAUCCAUGGCAAAAGCAGAAUCUGAACUCUGAUCUCCUAACCUCCUAUCCAUGCAGUCCGGAGUUUUUUGCCUUGUGCCACGAAGCCUUACUUCAAGCAUGUAGCAUCUGAUCUGGUCUUUAUUGUGGGUUCACUGCAUCUUAUUCUCCCCCAAAUCCUUAAGUGAGCAAGGCUGGAAAACCCAUUCCCCUCUGCCCGCACUCGCCUAACGUGUUUCCAGUCCUUUUAGCCCCAAGAGCUUUUGAGGUUUUAGACAUUUGCCCCUCGGGGCCAUCAGUACCACACACCCGGGGACGUGGAGUGGAGCUCGCAGUCCUUCCUAACGGCCUCCUGUCAGGGUCUUCUUGGCCGCGGCAACGAAGCAGCUCCGUAAGGCCUCGAACUCCUGCGCGCACAGAUCCUUUCUCAAGCGGCCGCCCGGGGCCAUGGACGCCUGCACGCACCUGCCGUAGGCCGCGGCCUCGGCCCCACAGGCCGCCAGGCGAUCGGGGAAGGCGCGGAGGCGGCUUCGCACGUGAUCCCACACCGCUCCGUUCCCCGACAUGAGCAGCUCUUCCUCACUUCAUUCCUUUUUACAGAUGAAUACUAUUUCAUUUUAGGGAUA